UAGGGAAUCUUCCACAAUGGGCGAAAGCCUGAUGGAGCAACGCCGCGUGUGUGAUGAAGGGUUUCGGCUCGUAAAACACUGUUGUAAGAGAAGAAUGGCAUUGAGAGUAACUGUUCAAUGUGUGACGGUAUCUUACCAGAAAGGAACGGCUAAAUACGUGCCGG
rnacentral:rRNA from 1 species